CAGUCGCCGCGGGAAUACGAAGGGUGCAAGCGUUACUCGGAAUUACUGGGCGUAAAGCGUGCGUAGGCGGUUUGUUAAGUCUGUUGUGAAAUCCCCGGGCUCAACCUGGGAAUGGCAAUGGAUACUGGCAAGCUAGAGUGUGUCAGAGGAUGGUGGAAUUCCCGGUGUAGCGGUGAAACGCGUAGAGAUCGGGAGGAACAUCAGUGGCGAAGGCGGCCAUCUGGGACAACACUGACGCUGAGGCACGAAAGCGUGGGGAGCAAACAGGAUUAGAUACCCGAGUAGUCCCUGUCUCUUAUAC
rnacentral:rRNA from 1 species